GGGUUGUGAGGUUAAGCGACUAAGCGUACACGGUGGAUGCCCUGGCAGUCAGAGGCGAUGAAGGGCGUGCUAAUCUGCGAUAAGCGCCGGUAAGGUGAUAUGAACCGUUAUAACCGGCGAUACCCGAAUGGGGAAACCCAGUGUGAUUCGUCACACUAUCAUUAACUGAAUCCAUAGGUUAAUGAGGCGAACCGGGGGAACUGAAACAUCUAAGUACCCCGAGGAAAAGAAAUCAACCGAGAUUCCCCCAGUAGCGGCGAGCGAACGGGGAGGAGCCCAGAGCCUGAAUCAGCAUGUGUGUUAGUGGAAGCGUCUGGAAAGGCGCGCGAUACAGGGUGACAGCCCCGUACACAAAAGCGUAUGUGCUGUGAGCUCGAUGAGUAGGGCGGGACACGUGGUAUCCUGUCUGAAUAUGGGGGGACCAUCCUCCAAGGCUAAAUACUCCUGACUGACCGAUAGUGAACCAGUACCGUGAGGGAAAGGCGAAAAGAACCCCGGCGAGGGGAGUGAAAAAGAACCUGAAACCGUGUACGUACAAGCAGUGGGAGCACCCUUUGGGGUGUGACUGCGUACCUUUUGUAUAAUGGGUCAGCGACUUAUAUUCUGUAGCAAGGUUAACCGAAUAGGGGAGCCGGAGGGAAACCGAGUCUUAAUUGGGCGUUAAGUUGCAGGGUAUAGACCCGAAACCCGGUGAUCUAGCCAUGGGCAGGUUGAAGGUUGGGUAACACUAACUGGAGGACCGAACCGACUAAUGUUGAAAAAUUAGCGGAUGACCUGUGGCUGGGGGUGAAAGGCCAAUCAAACCGGGAGAUAGCUGGUUCUCCCCGAAAGCUAUUUAGGUAGCGCCUCGUGAAUUCAUCUCCGGGGGUAGAGCACUGUUUCGGCUAGGGGGUCAUCCCGACUUACCAACCCGAUGCAAACUGCGAAUACCGGAGAAUGUUAUCACGGGAGACACACGGCGGGUGCUAACGUCCGUCGUGAAGAGGGAAACAACCCAGACCGCCAGCUAAGGUCCCAAAGUCAUGGUUAAGUGGGAAACGAUGUGGGAAGGCCCAGACAGCCAGGAUGUUGGCUUAGAAGCAGCCAUCAUUUAAAGAAAGCGUAAUAGCUCACUGGUCGAGUCGGCCUGCGCGGAAGAUGUAACGGGGCUAAACCAUGCACCGAAGCUGCGGCAGCGACACUC
rnacentral:rRNA from 1 species